rnacentral:lncRNA from 1 species
AUUUGGCAAUUAUCAUCUUCCAAACUGUUGAAAUCAUUUUGGAAGCUGGUAUUGUCAAGUGCUGAGAAAAAGAGUGGAAAGAAAAAGAGUGGAAUUCCUUCUGGAGAACAACGACCACUCUCCUUCUGACAAAAGGCAGGCAGUGAUGAAGCAGGCCAUGAGACAGAUCUACACAUAUUGACUCUUGGAGGAGUCAAGUGUCAGCUGAAUGUCAGAGAAAUUGCCUUUAUAACAAAAUCUGUUAAGGUGUGGGAUAACCUCAUGAAGAAAGCAAGAUACUUUGUGAACUUUAGUAUGAAUCAAUCAAAGCGACGAAAACCACGGAUAAUAUUGACCUCCAUGGGGAUGAAGAAAGUGGCUAAGCAUUGGUAGUACUUUUCUUCUUAAUUAGUGUUAUCAUUUUCUUCUGCUUUUUAAAUAAUUCACGAUUAAUAUUACUUCAAAGGCUGAUUUCUAUCCCACUUCUGAAUGUUAAUAGGCAAAACCAACUUCUUUCAUUCUUUUUACUCUUUUGCUUUAAUAUUAUCAACUUAUUUUUCUGGCUCAUUAUGGAAAUAUUUACUGAUUUAGAGGCUAAAAGAGAUCAUUAAGAUGGGCUCAUCUGACCUCUUGUACAAACCAGACCAAAGAACUGAACUCCGUAAUCUGAGCAUCAAUAUUUCUUGAGAUGAAGGAUGUGUCUUUAGAAAGACACUACAUUUUGCUUCAAGACUCAGUGACAACAAACUCACUAUAUUAUCUGGUAAGUCUUUGGAAUGCCUAAUUAGCUUCACUUCAAAAUUGUGUCUUCUGUCUAGCCUGGAUGUAAUUAGUGUCAGCUAGCUGCUAUGGGAUCUAGAUGUGUCUGGUUGGUUGCUCAGGAGAGAGAGCACCUGAGAACAACAAAGAAUAGUUUGUCUCGUUGCUCCUAGAUCCUGAUGCCUUUAGCAGUCUAGUUGAACUAUCCACAAACAUUUUUGGUGUAAGCUUGGAAAAACCUCACCUAACUUUAUACUCUGGUGUUUGGGGGUCUAUGUUAUGAAGUAGGACAUAUAUGUAGGACAGAAGUGUGAGAGGUGGCAGAAUUCACAGAGCCUAACUUUAGCCAAGACAGUCCAAGUCUCUCUCUGUCGUCAGUGAAAAUAGAAUGGUACUUCCUUCCAAGCAUCCAAGUUAGAAUAUUUAAAGAACCUGGAGGAGCCUCUAUAAAUAUUCCAUAGUUCCAUAGUGUCCAUAUUGUACAUUUCUUUUCUGAGAAGUUUAAUUUCUCACCUCCCUUUUUUUUUUGAGACCUUUGGCUAUAUGGGGGGGGAGAAGGGACACAUGACUGUUUGAAGAAAAUGUACUUCCGAAGAGAAUGCAUUGACUUUCAUUGGAGAAUCUGCCAAUAAAGAAAAAAAUGAUUCAAACA